rnacentral:rRNA from 1 species
GACGAACGCUGGCGGCGUGCUUAACACAUGCAAGUCGAACGGAAAGGCCCUGCUUUUGUGGUGUGCUCGAGUGGCGAACGGGUGAGUAACACGUGAGUAACCUGCCCUUGACUUUGGGAUAACUUCAGGAAACUGGGGCUAAUACCGGAUCGGAGCUCCUGCUGCAUGGUGGGGGUUGGAAAGUUUCGGCGGUUGGGGAUGGACUCGCGGCUUAUCAGCUUGUUGGUGGGGUAGUGGCUUACCAAGGCUUUGACGGGUAGCCGGCCUGCGAGGGUGACCGGCCACAUUGGGACUGAGAGACGGACCAGACUCCUACGGGAGGCAGCAGUGGGGAAUAUUGCACAAUGGGCGCAAGCCUGAUGCAGCAACGCCGCGUGCGGGAUGACGGCCUUCGGGUUGUAAACCGCUUUCGCCUGUGACGAAGCGUGAGUGACGGUAAUGGGUAAAGAAGCACCGGCUAACUACGUG